rnacentral:rRNA from 1 species
CCUACGGGAGGCAGCAGUGAGGAAUAUUGGUCAAUGGUCGGGAGACUGAACCAGCCAAGCCGCGUGAGGGAGGAAGGUACAGAGUAUCGUAAACCUCUUUUGUCAGGGAACAAAGACUGGGACGCGUCCCCGGAUGAGUGUACCUGAAGAAAAAGCAUCGGCUAACUCCGUGCCAGCAGCCGCGGUAAUAGGGAGGAUGCGAGCGUUAUCCGGAUUUGUGGGGGUAAAAGGGUGGGCAGGCGGUUUGUUAAGUCAGCGGUCAAACCCCGGGGCUCAACCCCGGCCCGCCGUUGAAACUGGCAGUCUCGAGUUGGAGAGAAGUAUGCGGAAUGCGCGGUGUAGCGGUGAAAUGCAUAGAUAUCGCGCAGAACUCCGAUUGCGAAGGCAGCAUGCCGGCUCCACACUGACGCUGAGGCACGAAAGCGUGGGUAUCGAACAGGAUUAGAUACCCGUGUAGUC